AUACGUAGGUGGCAAGCGUUAUCCGGAAUUAUUGGGCGUAAAGAGGGAGCAGGCGGCAGCAAGGGUCUGUGGUGAAAGCCUGAAGCUUAACUUCAGUAAGCCAUAGAAACCAGGCAGCUAGAGUGCAGGAGAGGAUCGUGGAAUUCCAUGUGUAGCGGUGAAAUGCGUAGAUAUAUGGAGGAACACCAGUGGCGAAGGCGACAAUCUGGCCUGCAACUGACGCUCAGUCCCGAAAGAGUGGGGAGCAAAUAGGAUUAGAUACCCUAGUAGUCCACGCCGUAAACGAUGAGUACUAAGUGUUGGAUGUCAAAGUUCAGUGCUGCAGUUAACGCAAUAAGUACUCCGCCUGAGUAGUACGUUCGCAAGAAUGAAACUCAAAGGAAUUGACGGGG
rnacentral:rRNA from 1 species